UCACAUAACCCCAAACCGGAACUCCUGUUUUUAGGGUUACAUGCAGUCAGUUUGAUACUUAGCACACAUUGUUGAGUGCAUGCUGCCUAGGAUUUGUAAAAUACAUUGCAAAUGGUUGGUUUUGGUAUCAACAUGAAGGUAUAUUUGUAAGCAAUAAGAAAAUAAGCCAUUUUUGUGCUCUACUUUUUGUGUUGAUGGUUCCCGGCUUUGAAAGUAGGUCAUACUAUUUGAGCCCAAAAUGGUUGUCUGCACAGCUGUCAAAACCGGUUUGCCUUUUCUAAGGUAAUUAUUUUGAGUUUGCGCGUAUAGAAUUUAAUGACAUGCAUUUUUUUCAAAAGAUUAUGCAUUAAUCUUUCCAAUGAUGUAUGAUGAUAUAGUGGGUAUGCGCUUGAUCAUGGUAAAAAUUGAUAUCGAACUUCAACUAUUUUAUAUGUAAUAUAGAAGGAAAUUAAUUGCGCAUGCGUAACCUUUAAGCACAUCCGACCAAGUUAGUCGUCUGCCAGAAUUUUGACAUUUGAACAUCAAAAACUCUCUGUAUUGCAAAACAUAACUGCCAGAUGUCAUUUUGACCCAAAUUAGGGCUGUUUGCAAUUGGGCUGUUGCACUUAGGGUCAUAAGGGGGGUAAAUGCUGGAAAAUCACACCGAAACCUGUUCCGGAGACAUAUUCUAAGACUAGUUAAACACCCGGCGGUGUCGAAAUGGGUCUAUAGCUCUGCCUGAACUGUCGUCCAAUUGGUUUACAAGUCCGGCUGAAGUGACCGGCCAUCAAAAACUGUACAGCGUGACUGAUUCGGAGACGGCCCUCAACACUCGCACAGUCGUGUCGAGAGGAUCGGUGUCUUUGCAGAUUACACGGAAUUGAGCACCCGGGCCAGACUGACACUUUCCGGAGCCUGCCCGAGACGGAACUCGAGCCGAGGAAUCAUAGGUCCAGGUGUGACAAAAGACUUAAAGCUCAUGUCUGACGAUGACUUUUUUUAGUCAUGAAGUCAAGUGUGUUGUUUUUCCAUGCAAGUGAGCCCUUUUGUUGGGUCAAAUGACAUCAGAAUUGCUGCUUCUACAUGGAUUUUACCUAAAAUGUGCAAAAAAAAAUAAAAAAAAGUUUGUUCGAAUCAUGUUCAAAACCUGCUUUGAUGCACAAAUAUUGCCAUUGAUGAUUUUUUUCACUUAUUAAGCCAUAUGUAAGAUCAGCUUUGCCUAUUAGAACCGAAAGACAUGCCUUGUAUGGAGUCUAAGUGCUGCAUGUAUGAUGUAACCAAGUUUGGCUUUUCUACCUUAAUUCUUGACGCGAAACGCUGUUACGCAUGGCGCUUUCAACGGCAACUUUUAUGAAUAAAUCUGUGUGUCAUUGUACCGGAACUUUGUGAUCUUUCUCAAAACAGAUUAUACCUAUGGGAAAAGUGCCUUUAAUUUAAAUUUGAAGGGGUUGGGUUCUCUUAAAGGUCACAUAACCCCAAACCGGAACUCCUGUUUUUAGGGUUACAUGCAGUCAGUUUGAUACUUAGCACACAUUGUUGAGUGCAUGCUGCCUAGGAUUUGUAAAAUACAUUGCAAAUGGUUGGUUUUGGUAUCAACAUGAAGGUAUAUUUGUAAGCAAUAAGAAAAUAAGCCAUUUUUGUGCUCUACUUUUUGUGUUGAUGGUUCCCGGCUUUGAAAGUAGGUCAUACUAUUUGAGCCCAAAAUGGUUGUCUGCACAGCUGUCAAAACCGGUUUGCCUUUUCUAAGGUAAUUAUUUUGAGUUUGCGCGUAUAGAAUUUAAUGACAUGCAUUUUUUUCAAAAGAUUAUGCAUUAAUCUUUCCAAUGAUGUAUGAUGAUAUAGUGGGUAUGCGCUUGAUCAUGGUAAAAAUUGAUAUCGAACUUCAACUAUUUUAUAUGUAAUAUAGAAGGAA